GAUGAACGCUAGCUACAGGCUUAACACAUGCAAGUCGUGGGGAAACGGCAUUAUGUGCUUGCACAUUCUGGACGUCGACCGGCGCACGGGUGAGUAUCGCGUAUCCAACCUGCCCCUUACUUGGGGAUACCCCGUUGAAAGACGGCCUAAUACCCGAUGUGUUUCAUUGACGGCAUCCGAUAUGAAACAAAGGUUUUUCCGGUAAGGGAUGGGGAUGCGUCUGAUUAGCUUGUUGGCGGGGCAACGGCCCACCAAGGCGACGAUCAGUAGGGGUUCUGAGAGGAAGGUCCCCCACAUUGGAACUGAGACACGGUCCAAACUCCUACGGGAGGCAGCAGUGAGGAAUAUUGCGCAAUGGGGGCAACCCUGACGCAGCAAUACCGCGUGAGUGAAGAAGGUUUUCGGAUCGUAAAGCUCUGUUAUUGGGGAAGAAGCAGUGACGGUACCCAAUGAGGAAGUCCCGGCUAACUACGUGCCAGCAGCCGCGGUAAUACGUAGGGGACGAGCGUUGUCCGGAAUCACUGGGCGUAAAGGGCGCGUAGGCGGUUUUAUAAGUCAGAUGUGAAAGGUACCGGCUCAACCGGUGACGUGCUUUUGAAAACUGUAAGACUUGAGUACUGAAGAAGCAAGCGGAAUUCCU
rnacentral:rRNA from 1 species